GACGAACGCUGGCGGCGUGCCUAAUACAUGCAAGUCGAACGGCAGCACAGAGGAGCUUGCUCCUUGGGUGGCGAGUGGCGGACGGGUGAGGAAUACAUCGGAAUCUACUUUUUCGUGGGGGAUAACGUAGGGAAACUUACGCUAAUACCGCAUACGACCUACGGGUGAAAACAGGGGAUCUUCGGACCUUGCGCGAUUGAAUGAGCCGAUGUCGGAUUAGCUAGUUGGCGGGGUAAAGGCCCACCAAGGCGACGAUCCGUAGCUGGUCUGAGAGGAUGAUCAGCCACACUGGAACUGAGACACGGUCCAGACUCCUACGGGAGGCAGCAGUGGGGAAUAUUGGACAAUGGGCGCAAGCCUGAUCCAGCCAUACCGCGUGGGUGAAGAAGGCCUUCGGGUUGUAAAGCCCUUUUGUUGGGAAAGAAAUCCAGCCGGCUAAUACCUGGUUGGGAUGACGGUACCCAAAGAAUAAGCACCGGCUAACUUCGUGCCAGCAGCCGCAGUAACAC
rnacentral:rRNA from 1 species